UAUGUGAUCGUCUCUCGCAUAUCAAUAAGCGGAGGAAAAGAAACUAACAAGGAUUCCCCUAGUAACGGCGAGUGAAGCGGGAAGAGCUCAAAUUCGAAAUCUUAAAGGGUUUCCCUUUACGAAUUGUAGUUUAAAGAAGUGUUUUCUGUUGAGGUUUUGGUAAAAGUUCUUUGGAAUAGGACAUCAUAGAGGGUGAGAAUCCCGUAUUUGACCUUUACUUUCAACUUUGUGAUACACUUUCAAAGAGUCGGAUUGUUUGGGAAUGCAGUCCAAAAUGGGUGGUAAAUUUCAUCUAUAGCUAAAUAUUGGCGAGAGACCGAUAGCGAACAAGUACCGUGAGGGAAAGAUGAAAAGAACUUUGAAAAGAGAGUUAAACAGUACGUGAAAUUGUCAAAAGGGAAGCGUUUGACACCAGUGUUGUUUUUCUGAAAAUCAAUUAAAGAACUGUUUAUGCUAAGUUGUUUAGACUUUAUCAGCUAUCUGCUUAGUUUUGAGCUUUUCUUUAAUGCACUUUUCAGUUAACAAGUCAACAUCAAUUUCUUUUGCUGUAAAAAAGCUUGAGGAAGGUGGCUUGAGAUUCGUCUUAAGUGUUUAUAGCCUCUUGCCUAUGCAGUCGGAGAGAUUGAGGUCUGCAGCGUAGAUCCUUCGGGGCUAAAUGCAUUUGUGCUAAGUUAUAACAUUUUAUAGACAACUUGUUGACUAUGAUUUGUCUUGUAGCUUACUCGCUUAUGUUAUUUUACCUACGCUUAGGAUGUUGAGUAGCGACAUACGCAC
rnacentral:rRNA from 1 species